UCCUCGAUGGCUCAGAUGGUAAAGAAUCUGCCUGUAAUGCAGGAGACCCAGGUUCGAUCCCUGGGUCUGGAA
rnacentral:tRNA from 1 species